rfam:Propionibacterium freudenreichii subsp. shermanii CIRM-BIA1, complete genome
UUCCCUGCCUUAUCUACCAAGGAUCGUCGGGCACGUACCUGCCCGUGGAAAGGAAU